GACAGAGGAUGCAACCGUUGUUCGGAAUUACUGGGCGUAAAGGGCUCGUAGGCGGCCAACUAAGUCAGACGUGAAAUCCCUCGGCUUAACCGGGGAACUGCGUCUGAUACUGGAUGGCUUGAGUUUGGGAGAGGGAUGCGGAAUUCCAGGUGUAGCGGUGAAAUGCGUAGAUAUCUGGAGGAACACCGGUGGCGAAGGCGGCAUCCUGGACCAACACUGACGCUGAGGAGCGAAAGCCAGGGGAGCAAACGGG
rnacentral:rRNA from 1 species